rnacentral:lncRNA from 1 species
CUUCAAUUUUGAUCUUUCACGCAUCUCGCCUUCCAAUGAUAGCCCUACACGUCAUUUUUUAUUUUUAUAUCUAACAUAUUUUCGAUCCCAUGUCUAUUAACUCAUCUCUACAUUCCUUUUCACACCUCCUUCUACUACACCACAACUCCAUUUUCAUUUUCUUAAAAUUAUUCCCAUCCUCAACCCAGUGAUCUCCACCGACACCCAACAACAACCUUAAAAAGCUGUCCAACACCCUCCACGUCUCUGCCUACAAGACCCUCUUUUCUUCCAUCACACUCUAACCUACCUUCAACCUUCUCCGUCACCUUCAUCUUCUCCACUUCAUAUCUCCCUCGCCCACAACAUCACGGUGGUACAAGAGACAACCAUGUUUUCUUCUCCAACCCCACGCAUCGCAGAGAGAGACAACCACCGUCUAUUCUCUGUCGUAUUCAGACCCGCCAUUUUCUUCAUCAAUUCAACCCACCAUCUCCAUUUUUCUCCACCCUAAAUUCUCUGUCCCUCAAUAAUUAAUUCACUUUCCCUAAUUUAAUAUUUGGUUAAACAUGAUUUUGUUGCUUCACUUCAAGUAAAAC